UAGUGACACCUGGCCUGCCUGGAUUUAGUCCCCAUCCUACUUAGCUGUUCUGGAGCUGACACUGUGACCCGUGCAGGGCCGAGCAUCCCAGGCUCAUAGGAGGAACAGACUUGCCUUGUCUCAGCUCUCAUUCUCUCUGCUGCCACCCUGAGAAGAGGUGCCUCCCACCGUGACUUGCACUCACUUCAGGAUAGACUUCUCUGUGGGAGCAGCAUAUUGGAGGCCUGCCAGGACAGUUCACAGGAGUGGCUGUGUGGGGCCGCAGGCAUGUCUCUAAUCAGAACCUGCCUCUUUCUUUUUUCUUUUCUUUUUUUUUUUUAUUGCCAGCUGCACUUUCUCCACCAAGAAGUGGGUAGCAUGCAAGCUAUGGUCAUAGUGAAGGUGGGAGAGGUGGAGAUAAUCCUGAAUGAGCUGCAUAGGCCUCAUCAAAUCAGUGGAAAGCUUUGAGAACAGAGUCAAAGUUUCUCUGAGGAACAGGAAAAGUCUACCUGUGGACAGCAGCUUCAGUGCUUGCUGCAGUUUCCAGCUGGCCCUUCCUGAGGGCCUGCCCUGUGGAUUCCAGAUUUGCCAGCAGUCCUCAUAGCCAUAUAAGCCAAUUCCUCACAAUAAAUUUCCUAGUUAAUGAUCCUUUAAUAACAUACAUAUAAAUAAUAUAUCCUAGUACUAAUAAAUCUCUCUCUCUCUCUCUCUCUCUCUCUCUCUCUCUCUCUCUCUCUCUUUCUCUCUCUCUCUCUCACACAUACACAUCUUACUAAUUCUACUUCUCUAUGGAACUCUGACUCAUAUAGAUG